rnacentral:lncRNA from 1 species
UUAUUAUGUCAUAUCCUUUAGAAAUAUGGAACAUUCUGGGAGGCCGAGGUGGGCGGAUCACGAGGUCAGGAGAUUGAGACCAUCCUGGCUAACACGGUGAAACCCCGUCUCUACUAAAAAUACAAAAAAAUUAGCCGGGCGUGGCGGCGGGCGCCUGUAGUCCCAGCUACUUGGGAGGCUGAGGCAGGAGAAUGGUGCGAACCCGGGAGGCAGAUUUUGCAGAGAGCCGAGAUCGUGCCACUGCACUCCAGCCUGGGCGACAGAGCAAGACUCCGUCUCAAAACAAAAAACAAACAAACAAAUAUGGAGCAUUCUGAUAUGAAUAAGACACUUGCUCACUUCUCAAUUCCUUGGUGUCCAGCUCUACAAGUGUAUAUAGACUUCCAAAGAAUAUUUAAAUCCUUUAACAAAAAUGCCACCUAAGAAAAUAUGAAAUACUUCAGUCUGUCUGUCAGUGCUCACUUCCUGUCUAGAAACUUUCAGGCUCCGGCACAAAUGAACCAUGUUCUUCGCCUAAGUCAUUUAUGGAACAUCUGCUUUCGGUUUAGCAUCAGCUUUGUGACCUAGUAAUAUCUUUCUCGAGUGCAUGAAACAUCUCAGAAAUGCAAACAUCAAGGAAGAUACUAAUCCUUUCUUCCAGUUUCUGUGUGAGGGUUGGAGGCUGACUUUGGUGGUGAUCUUGCUCCAAAUUAUAGAACUACAUCCUGUCAUGAAGAGAAGUUUGUCUUCUCGAUAAAGCCAAGUAGCUAACAGAGAUGGUCACCCCAAUUACCAGAUGGACAUAAUUAUACUUGAAUGCUGACCUACAACAUUUUGUGCUGUGCAGAGGCUUUGAAAAUCAAACAACUUUGAAAAUACAAAGCACCGCGUGGAUGUUUCUUUGAUUUCUAAAGAAAUGCAUUUCUAAAAGUCUUAUGCUGUAAGGAUGCUGGAUGCGUAGUUUGACCAAUUAUGGCUCUUGAUGUCGACUGAAGUGGUCACUUGAUUCCUAUUAGCGGCCUCACUCUGUCGCUCAGGCUGGAGUGGCACGAUCUUGGCUCACUGCAGUCUCUGCCUCCUCCUCUUGGAUGCAAGCAAUUCGGCCUCCAAGUAGCUGAGAUUACAGGUGCGUGCCACCACACUCUGCUAAUUUCUGCAUUUUUAGUAGAGAUGGGGUUUCACCAUGUUGGCCAGACUGGUCUCCAACUCCUGGCCUCAAGUGAUCCACUUGCCUCAGCCACCCAAAGUUCUGGAUUACAGGCGUGAGCCAUUGCGCCUGGCCUAGUAAACAUAUUUUUUUUAAAUAAAAAUGUUAUUUUAUCAUUUACAUAAGAUCAAAAACAUGUCUAUUGGAUUCCACCGCCCAGAUCCUUACACUGUACAUUCUAUUUUGCCUCAAAUUUGACUCUCUUCACUUGCUUUUAAGCUCUGGAUGAGUUUGAUUCCAACUAGUUCAAAAGAAAAAUGGAGCAUCCCAAAAGAACAUAAAACUAAUAAAAAUCAACUUGUUUAUGAAUCUAAAAUGAUAAAAAGCAAUACAUUUAAAAUAAA